AUGAGAGGUAAACUGUACAUUCAGUUCACUGUUGACUUCCCUGACUCGUUGACCCCGGACCAGUGCAAGGCACUAGAGGCUGUGCUUCCUCCCAAGGCAUCGGUUCAGCUGACUGACAUGGAGCUGGAUGAGUGCGAGGAAACAACCCUGCAUGAUGUUAACAUUGAGGAAGUGAUGCGUAGGAAACAGACUCAAGCUCAACAAGAAGCUUAUGAUGAAGAUGAGGACAUGCAUGGUGGUGCGCAGAGAGUACAAUGCGCUCAGCAAUGAUAAAAAAAAGCCGAAUGUCCGAGACACAGACGGUGGUUUUUGGCGAUGGAAUGUACUGUGGUUAAAAAAAAAAAGAAAGAACAUUUGAGAGUAAGAUUCUCAAAACAUUGUUGUGUUUUGGUAGUCCUUUAUUUUUUGUUUUUAAUAGUGCAAGUAUUUUAGUAAUUGAAAUGGUGUUAUAUGCUUUGAAACCUGAUGCUUUCUAAGUAUGCAAAGAUUUAUGCACAACUUUUUAUUGUUCUUUGUUCAUUUAGGAUUCUUCUCCCAAUACGUAUUGGGUUUGGUUUAGUUUUUGGACAAAAAUUGAGAAAAACCUUAUGAAAUAAAAGAUCCAAAUAAUGGAGUUUUAGUAAAUUUGGGUUUUGUAGGGAAAAAAAAAACAAAUAUCAUUUUGUUUCGGGUUUAAAAAGAUAUAAUUUUUAUUUUUUUAUAAUAAUUAUAAUACCUGCUUUAGAUUUUUUUAUACAUUUAUAAAGUAAAUUAAAUAAUUAAAUUAAAUUAUUAAAUUGAUUAAUCAUUGGAAGUUGUUAAAAGUAAAACAAAUGCAUAAAUCAAUUAUAUAUCUAAUGUCUUGUUAUUUCAUUUAAUUUCAUUUAAUUAGUUUAAUUAAUUAUAUAAGGGUUAUAAUGUAAACGUGCCAUUAUACCAUAAGUGGAUGCUGAAAUUUGUCACUAUUGAUAUUAAAUCUUUAUAUUUUAAAAAUAUAAAUAAAUUUACCACUCAAUUUUUAUGAAAUUAGUCAUUAGAUUUUAAAUUUUAAUUAAUUUUCACUAAUUUUAAUUUUUUAAAUAAAAUUUUACGGGUAAAUUUCCAAUAAAAGUUCUUUUUUUUUUUAAUUUACCGAAAUUGGUCAGGUCAGAAAUUAUUUACCAGGAUGGGCCAGUUUUUACAAAACGCGUUCACGUCAGCGCGUUGUCAGGGGAAAAAGUAGGAAAACGCUUCCUCAAGGAAGCGCUUUGUUUACGUGGACAGAAAACACUUCCUUGAAGGCGCGCUUUCUGUCCACGUAGGCUAAGCGCUUCCUUAAGGAAGCGCUUUCCCCGUGUUUUUAUUAAAGUUUUCUGCAAUUAGGGUUAGGGUUUUGGGAAAUUUAGGUUUUUAAAUUUUAAGGUUUUAAAGAAAAAAAUUAAAUAAAUUAGGGUUUAGUGUUUGUUAAUUAAAUUAAUUACUAAUUUUAAAAAAUUAGAUUAUAGUUUAGUGUUUAUGGUUUUUAAGAAAAAAAUUAAAUAAAUUAGAGUUUAGGGUUACUUGAGUAAAUUAAUUAUAAAUUUUAAAAAAAUUAGAUUAGGAUUUUAGGGUUUAGGGUUUUUAAGAAAAAAAAUCAAAUAAAUUAGAAUUUGGGGUUUAGGGUAACUUAAUUAAAUUAUUUGUUAAUCUAAAAAAGCUUCUACGUGGACGCUCUUUUGCUACAGUAGUCUCUGAAAAAUAAAUUUGAGAAGACGUGUCUGCGCAAAUAGUGUCAAAAAUGCUUCAAGCAUGAUGCAUUGUCAGCAAAAGUACUGAAAGAAGCUCCCACGUGGACGCUCUUUUGCUACAGUAGUAUCUGAAAAAUAAUUUUGAGAAGACGUGUUUGUUUAAAUAGUGUAAAAAACGCUUCAAGUAGGAUGUAUUGUCAGCAAAAGUACUGAAAGAAGCUUCCACGUGGACGCUCUUUUGCUACAGUAGUCUUUGAAAAAAUAAUUUUGAGAAGACAUGUCUGCGCAAAUAGUGGUAAAAACGCUUCAAGCAGGAUGCAUUUUCAGUAAAAUUAUUGGAAGAAGCUCCCACGUGGAUGCUCUUUUGCUACAAUGGUCUCUGAAAAAAUAAUUUUGAGAAGACGUGUCUGCAUAAAUAGUGUCAAAAACGCUUCAAGCAGGAUGCAUUUUCAGCAAAAGUACUGAAAGAAGCUCCCACGUGGACGCUCUUUUGCUACAGUGGUUUCUGAAAUAACUUGGGCUAUAAAUGAGCCAAAUUUUGUUCUCAGGUUGCAUAACUUACAGCAAAAAAAAAAAAAAUAGAGAGGCUAAGAAAGAUAAAAAUUAAAGAUGAGUGAACGCAUUAGUGCUGUUAUUUACUAUGAUGGUGAGGUUCGUCACACCAAGAACGGUGUUGUUUUUUUUCGGAGAAUACAAUACGACUGGUUUUUAACCAGAACAUAGAUUUGACAGAACUUCGUAAAUGGAUUAGGCGUAAAAUAUUCGAAACGACGUCAAUAAAAGUGUUGUCUAUUAGGUAUCGAUUUUGUGCUUCUAUUGAUCCAGUACCAUAUGACUCGUUCGACAUCAAAGGUGCUCGUAGCUUGGAGGCAAUGGUGCAGACUCAUCUUGCUAGUGGAGCACUAUAUAUUGAGUUAUAUGUACAAUUUGCUCGCCAAAUGAUACAUUUGCGGCUGCUAUUCGAGAGGAAUACACGGCCCCUGCCCGACACUCCGUUAGUGGGUUACAUAACACGGAACCGCUGGUUUUUGGUAGCGGUAUGGAAUACACAACCCCUGCACGACACUCUGUUAGUGGAUGGGACAUGCACCUAGGUGGGUCGAUGUUUGAUGCUGGAAAUACAUACUGGGGAACGACAUCAACUUAUAGUGCUUGGCAAUCUACAUCCAAUUGGGGACGUUAUGAAACGCCCAGAAGAAGGGAUGAUGUACUCCCCAUGACGUCCACUGGUGAGGGGACCUCAUACGUCACAGAUGAUUGUGGGUUAGAUGAUGAGUCCGAUGUGGAUCCACCUCGAGAGCCCAGCCGCGAUGGUACAGAAGUUGGAUUAUUUUUUGAACCGGAGCCUAUUCCAACUGAACCUGAAGAUGUUGAAAGGGGUUCAGAUGAAGAAGAAGAUCCACGAUUCAGGGCAUACUCGUCUCCAGCCCACAUGCAUAAUGUUGAUCUAUCUGCAGAUGAUGCAUUGGAGUUUCCAGAUCUACCACACAGAACGCGUGAUCAUACAAGUUCGUUAUUGGAUUCGAGUGAAUUUGAAGUUGGUAAGGAGUUUUCCAAUAAGGAUAGUUUUCUUGGUGCAUUGAAACAACAUAGCAUCAAUAACGGUGUUAACUACCACGUGGUUAAAUCUAAAUCCGAUAAGUUUGAGGCGAAGUGUGUAGUGUAAGACGGAAGUUGUUCAUGGAAAAUCUACGCCUCGUUGAGGAAAAUGAUAGGGUUGUGGGAGAUAAAAAAGUAUAAAGGUCCACAUACAUGUGCUGCAAGUACAGUAUUUAAGGUUUUUGAAUAAUACUGUUAUUAUGUAAUGUUACAUUAUUUAACGUACUUCGUUGACAGGUAUUUUACAAGAUCAUCCCAAGAUGGAUUCAAUUAUGUUAGCUAGCUUAAUACUACCCACGGUGAAGGCAGAUCCUAGGACUUCAGUGCCAGUCUUAAUUGCCAAUAUUCGUAACCAAAUGGGGUACACGUCCUCUUACCGCAAGGCUUGGAUAGCUAAGCAGAAGGCUUUUGAGAAGAUGUAUAGUGGGUGGGACGCUUCAUAUAAUGAAAUAUAGCAGUGGUGUCAAGUGCUAGAGAGAUAUGUUCCAGGUUGCAUAACAGACCUUCAAACAGAACCUGCAUACUACAACGACCGAUUGCUCCGUGGAUGCCAAGUAUUUAAGCGUCUCUUCUAGAGCUUUAAGCAAUGCCGAGGCGCAUUUGCAUAUUGUAAGCCAUUGGUACAAAUUGACGGUACCUUUAUGUACGGUAGAUAUACCCAUCGGCUAUUGCUAGCAGUCGCACAAGAUGGUAGUGGAAGAAUCCUUCCAAUUGCGUUUGCAAUAACACCGGGGGAGUCAGUUGAUGACUGGAAUUUCUUUCUUUUUAGGUUAAUGAUGCAUGUUUGCCCCCAACCUGAUAUAUGCGUUAUAUCGGAUCGAGGCACCGGGAUACUAGCUACAAUUGAACGACAGGGAAGCCUAUGGCAUCGCACACACCAUCGGUAUUGCCUAAGGCACAUUGCUUCCAACUACUACAGACAAUAUCCAUCUAAAGCUGAACGACGGCAAGUGGCCAACAUGGGUAUUUAACUUUAUCUCUAUUAAUAUAAUUUCGUUUGGAAUAUUGAAUUUAUUUUAAAUGGAAAAGUGGUAUGUAAUUUUCGCUAUCAACUUUUAUUGGCAGGGUAUGAGAUAAGUAAGGACCGUUUUCAUGAGAUGUUGGCAGUUUUCCAUUCAUUUAACGAAGAGUGUAACGUCCCCUAACCCUAUACCGUCGCCAGAACAGGGAUACGAGACAUUACCAGUCAGUACAGUCUAAUUUCAGUCAUUAAUUAAAAUAAAUAUUCACACUCAUCCUAGUUUUAAGAUGUCGUCCCUUUAAUGGGCCCUCGCGGUCCAAUAUGGACAGUAAAUUCAAUUUGGAACUAAUUUAGAAUCAAUACGAUUUUUUUUUUAUAUUUCAAAAUUCAUACUAUAUACCGUUGCCAACCAUAAUUUACUUAUUUCAUCAAUACUUUUACAACUUAAAUGACUCUCAUUAAACAUCCUAGGUACAUGCCAUUAUCAAUACUCAACAUACUUUACCUCAUUGAAUUCGGGAUCGGCCUAGAAUGCUGAUUCAACAGUCUAGCCUUAACUUAACCUACGCAUGGAAACAAACUGUACGCUGAGUAUACACUCAGUGGUAUUUCUAUAAUCUGAACACUUAAAAACAAUUAUAAAACAUAUUAAUUUAUAUAUAUUGAACUAUUCAAACUCAAUGAGAAUUCAAACAUUCAUUUUCCAACCAAUGUUUUGGUCUACUUUAAAUUUCAAAUCAUUUAUUAUUUUUCAAUAGCAAUUAAUCAAUCAGUAAUGUUCAUUAACACUCAGAAUAAUUAUUUAUUUAGUAACAGUCAGUUAUUUAGUAAUAAUCAAUUAUUCAAUAAUAACCAGUUAUUCAGUAUCGAUUAAUUGAUCAGUUAUCCAGUAACAGUCAAUUAUUCAGUAAAAUCAGAUAUUCAGUAACUAUUAAGUUAUUCAAUAGCAGUCAUUCAUUCAGUGACAAUCAGUUAUUCAGUAAUAAUCAAUUAUUCAGUAAUAUUCAGUUAUUCAGUAACAGUCUAAUAUCCAGUAACAGUCAAUUAUCCGAUAACAGUCAAUUAUUCAGUAAUAAUCAGUUAUUUUAUACCUUUAUUUACCCCUAUUAACAUGACUCGGACUCAGACGGAUACACGGAUUCAACCAACACACCAGUACGGCACAUAGUGCCUCAUCGGCCGAAGCCGGAAUAGGAAGAGGAACAGUAACAGUAACAGUAGCAGUACGGUACACAGAGUGCCUCAUCGGAACAAAUCCAGAAUAGUAACAGUAACAGUAACAAUAUUUGACACACACAGUGCCGAAUCGGUAAUGGUAACAGUAACAAUAUUCGACACACAAAGUGCCGAAUCGGUAACAGUAGCAGUAGCGGUAACAGUAACUAGCACAUAAGUACCUAAAAUACGGCACAUAAAGUGCCCGAUCGGUAAAGUCGAUAAAUCCCGUACUCUUCCAAUCCUAUGGCAUGCCAAUUAUAUCCGACUAGCCCGACAAGUUAAUAGGAAAUUUAAUUCUUAUUCCAAUUUUACUUAAUAUUCAUAUUUACCCCUAUUAACAAGACUCGGACUUUGGCGGAUAUACGGAUUCCAACCAAACACACCAGUAUGGCACUCAGUGCCUGAACACUUCCAAAUCCUAUGGCAUGCCAACUAUAUCCGACUCAGUCCGACUAGUUAAUAGGGUAUUCAAAUCAUUUUUCUAUUUCAAAUUCGCUUUCAAUUCAAUCACAAUUUCUCAUAUUUCAAUAUCCAACCAAUACACAUUUCAAUUAAUCAUAAUUCCAUUCCAUUCAAUUCAAUUCAAUUCAAUUCAAAUUCACCCUUCAAUUUCAAUUAAUAUUCAUUUUAUUUCAAAUAAUUUAAUCAAUGCACCUACCAUACAUAAUAAAUAAUAAAUUCAAUAAUUAAAAAUUAAGUUCGGGUUAUAGAAAUACAAACCGUAAUUUUCGAGCUAACUCCCGUUGAC
rnacentral:lncRNA from 1 species